rnacentral:lncRNA from 1 species
CAGUAGGACAACCGGAUGUGCCUUUUUGGCCAAAAUGUGAUUCGGCGGCGCUCAGUAGUCCUACGCCGAAAAUUGGACUUUUUUGCGUCGGCCGACGUCAGCUGAAAAAUGGCGCGCUUUUGUAAAAAAAAUUCAUUCGUUUACAGCAAAGUACCGGCGGUAAAUGCUGUUGAUUGUAAGCACAUUUAUAAGAGAAAAAUAUAUCAGUUUACUUAUUAUUUUCAUGUUUGAACAAAAAAAUAAAAGAAAAUCUUAUUUUUUCACAUCUGAACAUAGAAUUUCGGAUUUCGAUUUUCUGCACUGUAGAAUUAAAUAGCGAUAUUAAAAAGGGGUACAAAAAAAAGCCAUAUCCUUCAAUUACCCUAAAAUUUUUACAUCGAAAUUUCGCUAGUUUUUCACAUCAAAUUCCGUAAAGAAAAGGGGUGUCCAAAGUAGGGCAAAAAAUUGUACCCAUUUUAAAGUAGGGGUCUCAUUUUUUUGAAGGUUUUUCCUUGAAUGGCCGGUAGAAUUAGAAAUUGGAAAAGAUUCUGUUAUUAAAGUAAAUAUUCAUUCAACUAUCAAGAAUAGCUGAAUCCUUAUAUGUGUAGCCCCUAUAAAAAUAUCAAUAUGUGUCAAUAAAUUGUAAAAUUAUAGAUUUUUUUUCCGAAAUUGAAGAAGGCGC